UGUCUCCUGUGGUCUAGUGGUUAGAUCAUCCGCCUCUGAUGUAGAAGGUCGUGGGUUCAAACCCCGGCCAAGUCAU